rnacentral:rRNA from 1 species
UACGUAGGGUGCAAGCGUUAAUCGGAAUUACUGGGCGUAAAGCGUGCGCAGGCGGUUUUGUAAGACCGAUGUGAAAUCCCCGGGCUUAACCUGGGAACUGCAUUGGUGACUGCAAGGCUUGAGUGUGUCAGAGGGAGGUGGAAUUCCGCGUGUAGCAGUGAAAUGCGUAGAUAAUGCGGAGGAACACCGAUGGCGAAGGCAGCCUCCUGGGAUAACACUGACGCUCAUGCACGAAAGCGUGGGGAGCAAACAGG